GCCGUUCUCAGUUCGGACUGUAGGCUGCAACUCGCCUACACGAAGCUGGAAUCGCUAGUAAUCGCGGAUCAGCACGCCGCGGUGAAUACGUUCCCGGGCCUUGAACACACCGCCCGUCACACCAUGAGAGUCUGUAACACCCAAAGCCGGUGGGAUAACCUUUAUAGGAGUCAGCCGUCUAAGGUAGGACAGAUGAUUAGGGUGAAGUCGUAACAAGGUACC
rnacentral:rRNA from 1 species